UACAGAGGGUGCAAGCGUUAAUCGGAAUUACUGGGCGUAAAGCGCGCGUAGGUGGUUUGUUAAGUUGGAUGUGAAAUCCCCGGGCUCAACCUGGGAACUGCAUCCAAAACUGGCAAGCUAGAGUAUGGUAGAGGGUGGUGGAAUUUCCUGUGUAGCGGUGAAAUGCGUAGAUAUAGGAAGGAACACCAGUUGCGAAGGCGACCACCUGGACUGAUACUGACACUGAGGUGCGAAAGCGUGGGGAGCAAACAGG
rnacentral:rRNA from 1 species